UACGGGGGGGGCAAGCGUUGUUCGGAGUUACUGGGCGUAAAGGGCUCGUAGGUGGCCAACUAAGUCAGACGUGAAAUCCCUCGGCUUAACCGGGGAACUGCGUCUGAUACUGGAUGGCUUGAGUUUGGGAGAGGGACGCGGAAUUCCAGGUGUAGCGGUGAAAUGCGUAGAUAUCUGGAGGAACACCGGUGGCGAAGGCGGCGUCCUGGACCAAUACUGACACUGAGGAGCGAAAGCCAGGGGAGCAAACGGG
rnacentral:rRNA from 1 species